GGAGGCGGGCCCAGAGGCCAGUCGGGCUGUCCGCGCCGAGACCGGAGCUUCUGUUGUGCUGGCGAAGCUCGGUCUCGUCGUUCUCACCUGUGCGCUUGACCAGCGAGUCAGCUGGAAUUGCGUGACUGUGAUCGGCGCUGCUUUCGCAGUAAAGGGAGCCCGCAGCCGCGGUGAAGGUCACGGUCUCUUCUCCGGCCGUUCCCCGAGGGCCGGCGUGAGGAGGUGGCUGCCUGCGCUGUGGAAGCCUCUCAGUCCCGGUCGCGGGACAGCGGAGCGCAGGCGGUGAAUGUAGCAGAAGUCUGGUGAGAAAUAGCCAGCUGUUGGAAUUAGCAGAUAGAGAAAGCAGUUAUUUGUUCCGUGAAGGAAUGUGAAAGCUGAGGCCAGGAGUAAUGAAAACUAAAUAGAUGCCCCAAAUAUCUACACACAAGUCAGGACAUGUAAAUUGCUUGCUGUGUUGAAUGGUGAAGUCAUCUCAGAUGCGUUGCCUUGUCUGGAGUUCUUGUUAAAGAUGAAACCUUCUUCAGUGCAACAUCAUAUCUAGCAUCCAGAGCACAACAAGUAACACUGAAGAUUUUCUUUCUCAGGACUCUGGGCUGCUGCUCAGCUCCUCCGGAAUGCCGUGUCCCUUUUGGCAGCCUGCCACUUUGGAAUUUAUACCCUCCUUAAAGGGAGGAUGGCAAGAAGAUGGAGCCAGGCUCUUCUCAGUGAUGCCCAGUAAUAGGAAAAGAGGCAAGGCACAGAAAGUGAUGCACAGGAAGUUUCACCUGACCCUGAGGAAGAACUUCACUGUGGGAGUGUGGUGCACUGAACAGAUUGCCUGGAGAGGGUGUGGAAAGUCCCUCACUGGAGAUAUUCCAGAAUGUACUGGACACGAUCCUGUGUCAAGUGCUCUGGGAUGGCUCUGCUUGAGCAGGGAGGUUGGACCAGAUGACCCACCUGUGGUCCCUUCUAACCUGAACCAUUCUGUAAUUCUGUACCAGGAAAGGUGAUCUGUUCCCUUGUUUCCAGGGCUUUUGCAAUGCCUGGGCAUGUGCCUUCACCGGCCAUCACAGCAGAAUCCCAGAACGGCUGGGCU